UACGUAGGGGGCUAGCGUUGUCCGGAAUCAUUGGGCGUAAAGCGCGCGUAGGCGGCCCGAUAAGUCUGCUGUGAAAGUCCAGGGCUCAACCCUGGAAUGCCGGUGGAUACUGUCGGGCUAGAGUUCGGAAGAGGCAAGUGGAAUUCCUGGUGUAGCGGUGGAAUGCGCAGAUAUCAGGAGGAACACCUAUAGCGAAGGCAGCUUGCUGGGACGACACUGACGCUGAGGAGCGAAAGCGUGGGGAGCGAACAGG
rnacentral:rRNA from 1 species